UCCGCCGCCCGGCCCGCUCGGAUGGAGCCCCCUGGCCCGGCCGGGCUCCCUGGGCGCUGGCGCCAACGACUCGCGCUCCUCUUUGUCUGCGCAGAAAGGUGUCUAGCACAGUGCGGCCUCGAGUGCUGAGCUUACUGUUGUGACCGGCCCAGCCCGUUCUGCUGUUCCUACUACGCCUACAUCGGGAAUGUCCUCUCAGGCACGGCGAUCGCGGGCAUCGUCUUCGGCAUCGUGUUCAUCCUGGGCGUGAUGGCGGGGGUGGCCAUCUGCCUCUGCGUCUGCCUGAAGAGCGGCCCCGGC